rnacentral:rRNA from 1 species
AACGAACGCUGGCGGCAGGCUUAACACAUGCAAGUCGAACGCUCGUAGCAAUACGGGAGUGGCGGACGGGUGAGUAACGCGUGGGAACGUGCCCUGAGGUACGGAAUAACUGAGGGAAACUUCAGCUAAUACCGUAUGAGCCCCGAGAGGGGGAAAGAUUUAUCGCCUUGGGAGCGGCCCGCGUCGGAUUAGCUAGUUGGUGAGGUAAGAGCUCACCAAGGCGACGAUCCGUAGCUGGUCUGAGAGGACGACCAGCCACACUGGGACUGAGACACGGUCCAGACUCCUACGGGAGGCAGCAGUGGGGAAUUUUGGACAAUGGGCGCAAGCCUGAUCCAGCCAUGCCGCGUGAGUGAAGAAGGCCUUCGGGUUGUAAAGGACUCUUUCGGUCCGGGAAGGAAAUACGCAUGGGUUAAUACCCUGUGUGGA